rnacentral:rRNA from 1 species
UAGUCUGGGGAAACUGCCUGAUGGAGGGGGAUAACUACUGGAAACGGUAGCUAAUACCGCAUAACGUCGCAAGACCAAAGAGGGGGACCUUCGGGCCUCUUGCCAUCGGAUGUGCCCAGAUGGGAUUAGCUAGUAGGUGGGGUAACGGCUCACCUAGGCGACGAUCCCUAGCUGGUCUGAGAGGAUGACCAGCCACACUGGAACUGAGACACGGUCCAG